CUUCAUUAUCUUUAGUAUAAAGAAGAUCUGAGGACAAUAGAACUGUUCUUCAAUAAUUCAUCCUCCUAAAAACAAUCAAAUAUUUCAAAAAUAAGAUAUUAGAAUCCAACUACUAAGGAUUUCCCUGCAGAAACACUUGAAAUAUUGAUCUAUUGUUAAGAAUUUCCCUUCAGAAUGACCUGAAAUAUUAGUCUAUUGCACGACUAAUAAUAUCUAUUGACUUCUGUAUAUGAUUAUUUUGGGGGUAAAAACAUGUCUAAACAAAAUUACAAGAAUGAAGCAAAAAGAAUCCUUAGGAUGCUGAUACUUAUGACCAGGGCAUCAUAGAGGGGCAGGCAAUCUCAGCAAAUAAAUCAAUGUCUUCUCAGUCAUAACCAUAGCCUUCAUCGUCGUCACCAACCUCCACCUCAGAAAAGUCAUAUCCACCCAUGACAGAGAGAAAGAGUAAAAUAGCUACCACCUGUGUUGCCAAGAAAUAUUUUGCCCUUCUUUUGAAAGUUUUCUCCUCUUCUGUCUUUUCCCUCUUGGGUUUUCUCUUAGGCUUUGAACUAGAAUUUGAAGGACUUCUUCUUGGAGUUGACGAUGAAGAAUCAGAGGGGAACCAUGGGACAGCAGAACAUGAUGAACCAGCAUCCAAGAAAUCAGUCUUAUGUUUCUCAGCAUAUCUUAUGAGAUUACCAUGCUCUAAAAGUGAACUUUGAAGAACCGAUGCUUCAGGUAAUGCUUGAAGAGUGAAAAGAAGAUGCCCAAGGAAUAAUGCAUCCAAACUUGAUGGCCUGUCCUCAAAGAGAAACUCCUGUUCACCCAAUCUGGUUGACAAAGCUCCAUAUGCAAUUUUCACUCUCUUGUAAAUCUCUUCUUCCCUUCGUUCUGCAUUUUCUUUUGUUAUCCCAAGUUGCUGCUUAACAGUAUAUGCUUGCUUGACAAAUAAGACCUUUCCUAUUAACCAAGGAAGGUCAGAAUAAUAAAUCUUGAAAGCAGAACUUCCAUCAGAUCCCAACCAGAGCUCAUACAUGACUGCAUCUACAAGCCAGGAGCUAAUCAUUGCUUUCAUUGAUAUCCAUUCUGGGAUUGAGCAGAAUUCAGUGUCCAAAUUAACAAUACCAUCUUCCUUUAAACGUUGAAUAACUCCACCACUCUCAUUAUUAUAGGCCACAUAUGCACCAGAUUCAACGUAAGGAAUUUGAUCUGAAUCUGGAUAAGUGGAAUUGAAAUCCAGGCGAAAGGGAAGCCUAGCUAACUUGAGAUAGAUGUAGACAGGCAAGCAAAUUGGGCAAGCAGUUGGGAGUCCAAAACAGGGUUUUCUAGCGACAAGAGUACACUCUUCUCUUUCAUGAGAUUCUUCCAUUUGCUAUCCCUCUUGAUUUUCUUUUCUUUUUUCCUUUGAAAAAGGAAAAACUUUAAAUCUACGGCAAGAGCUGUGGUUGUUGAUUCUUGGCGGUUCUUUGAGAGAGAAUGAUGGGUAGCGACGGUCACAGAGAACAAAAUAGUGAGCAGUUAGAGAGAGCCGUGAGGGGAGAGAAGACGAACUAGAAAACGAUCGCCCUGGUAGUCCGGCAGUUCAACGCCGUCAACAGUAGCUCGGGAGGGGAAUAGAGAGCGUACACUGAUAGAGGAGAGAAUGGGUUUUGUC
rnacentral:misc_RNA from 1 species